GAUGAACGCUGGCGGCGUGCCUAAUACAUGCAAGUCGAGCGAACAGACGAGGAGCUUGCUCCUCUGACGUUAGCGGCGGACGGGUGAGUAACACGUGGAUAAUCUACCUAUAAGACUGGGAUAACUUCGGGAAACCGGAGCUAAUACCGGAUAAUAUAUUGAACCGCAUGGUUCAAUAGUGUAAGACGGUUUUGCUGUCACUUAUAGAUGGAUCCGCGCCGCAUUAGCUAGUUGGUAAGGUAACGGCUUACCAAGGCAACGAUGCGUAGCCGACCUGAGAGGGUGAUCGGCCACACUGGAACUGAGACACGGUCCAGACUCCUACGGGAGGCAGCAGUAGGGAAUCUUCCGCAAUGGGCGAAAGCCUGACGGAGCAACGCCGCGUGAGUGAUGAAGGUCUUCGGAUCGUAAAACUCUGUUAUUAGGGAAGAACAAAUGUGUAAGUAACUAUGCACGUCUUGACGGUACCUAAUCAGAAAGCCACGGCUAACUACGUG
rnacentral:rRNA from 1 species